GUGGAGCAAGUUCUGGUUGUGAAAGAUUCUGGUCAUCAAGUUAAUCUGUUGUCAUCAGCUCCUGGGGCUGACUUUUGGAAGCAUAUAAAAGCCUCCUAUUUGGGAGGCUUGUUAACUUGAGUGCCUUCUUCUUCUCGUCUUCUAACAGCAGGAGACAUCAGGUUUAGCAAAGAUGUCUUCCCACCAGCAGAAACAGCAGCUGCAAAUACCUUCAAAAUGCCAGGAAAAGUGUCCUCCAAAGUGUGUGGAGCAAUCCCAGGCCCCAAAAGGGCAAGCCAAGUGUCCUGUGAAGAGCAUCCCACAGCAGCAGCAGCAGCAGCAGCAGUGCCCAAAGCAGAAGUAACAUUAACAGCAGUGGCUACAAAGUGCCAUGGAAGAUACAAAUACUUAUUUCCAGGCUUUCCUUUCUUGUGGCUCUGCCAGAAUAGCUAAAAAUUGUCAGCACACCUCUUCUGUUUGCAGGCAGAAAUUACUUUUCAAAGCGAUGCAAUUCAUUAAGUUGGAUUUAUUCAUCCUUUAAUAUAAAGAAUAAAUGUUGUGGGGCUAUUUUCUUCUCAUCUUUAUUUGGUUAUGCUGCAAUAAAAUUAUAAGUGACCUCAU